AUUGAACGCUGGCGGCAUGCUUUACACAUGCAAGUCGAACGGCAGCGCGGUCUUCGGCCUGGCGGCGAGUGGCGAACGGGUGAGUAAUACAUCGGAACGUGCCCAGCAGUGGGGGAUAGCUCGGCGAAAGCCGGAUUAAUACCGCAUACGACCCGAGGGCGAAAGCGGGGGAUCUUCGGACCUUGCGCUAUUGGAGCGGCCGAUGGCAGAUUAGCUAGUUGGUGGGGUAAAGGCCUACCAAGGCGACGAUCUGUAGCUGGUCUGAGAGGACGACCAGCCACACUGGAACUGAGACACGGCCCAGACUCCUACGGGAGGCAGCAGUGGGGAAUUUUGGACAAUGGGCGAAAGCCUGAUCCAGCAAUGCCGCGUGUGUGAUGAAGGCCUUCGGGUUGUAAAGCACUUUUGGCGGGAACGAAAAGGACUGUGCCAAUACCACGGUUCGAUGACGGUACCCGCAGAAUAAGCACCGGCUAACUACGUG
rnacentral:rRNA from 1 species